UACGUAGAGUGCAAGCGUUGUCCGGAAUUAUUGGGCGUAAAGGGUACGCAGGCGGAUAGUAAAGUCAAGCGUGAAAGGUGUCGGCUUAACCGACAGACUGCGUUUGAAACUGAUUAUCUUGAGUGUAACAGAGGAGAGUGGAAUUCCUAGUGUAGUGGUGAAAUACGUAGAUAUUAGGAAGAACACCAGUGGCGAAGGCGACUCUCUGGGUUAACACUGACGCUGAGGUACGAAAGCUGGGGGAGCAAACGGGAUUAGACGUACCCGGUACGU
rnacentral:rRNA from 1 species